rnacentral:lncRNA from 1 species
UUAUUUUGUGAGCUUGAUCUUGAUCUUCCUUGAUGUGUAAUAAUGAUACUAGUAAUAGCUAACAUUGAAUAUUCUGGGGACCAUAUACUAAACCCUCACGUGGAUCAACUAAUUUGAUCACUGUGUUCAUUUUGGAGAUAAGGAAACAGACACAAAAGAUAUAAUUUACUCAGUUAAUUAGUGAGAAUUACUUCAGAGUCUGAACUACUAAAACACUGACAACAUGAGAUUAGGGGGACUUAAUAUAUAAUCAAAGAAUGAUUUUAGAAGACACCUUCUCAAAAACAAACUUGUGCAGAAAACAUCAAAUGUCAUGAUUCUGUAACAGAAUGGGCUGAAAUAUUUAGACCAGUGUGUUCCUAAGAGCUUUAAAAUUGGCAAGUGACAGUUGGUGUGCUGUGAGUUGUGAAUAGAUUAAUAGGUAUUCUUUGGGGAGAUGAGCUUCCUAGUCAAAUAUGAUUGGGAAACAGGACAUGUUCUCAGAACAUUUAAAGAAAUAACUUUCAAAUUAGUGGUCCUGGGAACAUGUCUGAGAAACUGGGGAGUCUUUCACUUCCCUGGUUAUGUGAUUUUUUUUUUUUUUUUUUCUGAUCCUGGGCCAGGGAUCAAACCCAUGCCACAACAGCAACCCAAGCCGCUACAGCGACAAUGCCAGAUCCUUAACCCACUGCACCACAAGAGAAUUUCUUUUUGUAUAGGUUGUUUUGCUCUUGGCAAAGGUUAUCAAUGGUGACCUAGAAGAUUCUCUCAAAAGAUCCUGUAAUCAGGAGAAGAGAACAAAUAGAAAAGGAUUUGUGUUUGUAUCUUUACACACCAGCUCAACCACCUCCUGAUCAGAUGGGAUGGUUUAAAUAGAGGAGAGGCGGUUCAUUGGGAAGAUAGAGGAUUCUUAGAGGUGAUCAAGCAGAAUUUUCCCUAUGGUUCUCCCAAAAUGUAAAAGAAGGAGUAUAUUUCAAUUUUGCUUUUAUUAAACAACUAAAAGUCCCAUCUAGAGUAUGAGUAAUAAGCCAUAGCCAAGUAAGUCUUUGGAAAUACCUAGCAAUAGGGUACAUAUUUAUAGCAUUAAGGUCUAUUUCCCAUUGCCCCCCCCCCCCAAUGUUAGAUUUUCUAACUAGUAGUGGCUAAAAAUAGAACUAGGAAAAGGUAUAGUAAAUCUUCAGUAGGUCACCGCCCUGUUGUGCCUGUGGAAAGAAAGCAGCUCCGUGGGGAGGGAGGGGAGAUGGCCCCCAAGUCCUAAUAGGCCAUUUCUGUCUUCUCCCUAUGAUUGUCCUCAAUCACUUGGCAAUCACGAUGCUAUUAGGAGCACCCUGACCGAAGACACUCAGUGCUUAGAUUUGCCAUUAACAACAUUGACAUUGAAGCUCUGAGGUUGCUGCGGACCUGAUGGGUCUUGAGAGCCUUGAAUUAGACGUCUGCCUGUCUUCUGACAUGUGAAAUGGUCCAGCUCCUUCUGCGGAAGGAUGCUCAGGCAAGAAAUGGAACUGUACGUGCGUGAACAUCUAAGUUAUUUUUUUCUCCUGUGUCUCCACCGUUUAUUACAUGCAAAUGCAGUGAGUCAUGGUUGUUGCCUGUAACUAUGGAGCGCUUCAUACUAAAACUGAAGUUCAGCAGCACCCCCACCCCCACCACCAAACAGGAUUUAUAGAGGGAUUUUCAGAACUCCUCCCUUCCCCGGCUGUUGUCCCCAGGCCACCCUGCAUCCCUACCACGCUGAUCCAGUGUUGGGUGAAACAGACAUUUCCAAAGUGUAAUACUCCAUCUGGGCCCUUUAGAUUUCAUGAUCUGGUAGGAAUUGGGAAGUCAGGCCCAGGUUUCUUUGAGACAGUGUUUGAAGAUCACUCUUCCAAGUUUCAUUAGAUCACCCCUCCUGUCUGCCUGGGUACUCAUGCACAGUGAGGUCAUGCACAGACUUUCCCCAAUACAUAGCAUCAGGAGGAUAUAAUUCUCCAAAUUGGCUACCAGGGCUAAGUUCUAGAUGGUAGUUAGGCAGUUAUAUGUGUACAUAUUCCCUUUAUGAGCAAAAUUGCUGAUCUGUUUCCCUUCCUGACCCCGGGAAAAGAACAGCCAUGAAAAAAAGAAAGCAGAAUCUUAAGAUUCCAAAUAAAUGUUAUCCUUAAAAGGCAUUUGCAUUUGAGACCUUACCCUCAGACUUUUUAUUGAAGAAUAAAAAUAUAAAAUCACAAUUGAAAGUGUUGGGUUUCACUUGAAAGAAAUAAGUAUGUAAAAUACUUGGGAAAACACACCUGGUAUCAUUACAGAUUGAAAUUUGACAUCAUACUGUGAUGGAAGAGAGUAUCUUUGAUUAUUAUUUAUUAUUUUUUCUCUUAAUGAUUUUUAUUUUUUCCCAUUAUAGCUGGUUUACAGUGUUCUGUCAAUUUUGUACUGUACAGCAAAGUGAAACAGUCACACAUACAUAUAUACAUUCUUUUUUCUCACAUUAUCAUGUUCUAUCAUGUGACUAGAUAUAGUUUCAAGUGCUAUGCAGCAGGAUCUCAUUGCUUAUCCAUUCCAAAGGCAAUGGUUUGUAUAUGUUAACUCCAAAUUCCUAGUCCAUCCCACUCCCUCCCCUUCCCCCUUGGCAACCACAAGUCUGUUCUCCAGGUCCAUGAUUUUCUUUUCCGUGGAAAGUUUCAUUUGUGUUGUAUAUUAGAUUCCAGAUAUAAGUGAUGUCAUAUGGUAUUUGUCUUUCUCUUUCUGACUUACUUCAGGAAGAGAGUAUCUUUUAAACUUUUCAGGCGAAGAUUUCUAUAAAAGUUCUCAUAAUCAUCUGAGAAGUGCAGGAAGAUCUUGGAAGACACUGUUAGUCACCAAAUUACUAAUCACUCUCAGAACUCAUCAUGCAGGAAACUAACUUGCUGGAAGGAACAGUGAUAAGAUUAGCAAGGGUAGCCUCAUUCAUUAGAAGGACCUUGCUGGGUUUUUAAAAAAAUUUUUAUUUUUAUCUAUUUAUUUAUUUAUUUAUUUUUUACAUUUUAAUUUAUUAGAUUAUCCUUAACCCACUGAGCAAGGCCAAGGAUCGAACCCGCAACCUCAUGGUUCCCAGUCGGAUUCGUUAACCACUGUGCCACGAUAGGAACUCCUAUUUGUUUAUUUUUAACUAAGGACUUGCCAACAGUUUAAGUUCAUGGGUUCUCCAUUUCCCCCCAUUUUCAUAUAUUGGUGAAUGGUCUUCUUUCAUUCCUUUCCUCCCUUCUUGAUGUCUCACAUCUUCCCAAGAAUAAGAAGACACAGCAGCAAAGGUCAGACGAAACAUAUAAUACUCUGAAGGGAGAACAGGACUAAUGGAACAUACCCCAUUUCUGGUUACAUGCUUACUGAGUAGGGUUUCUGGCAUGUAACGACCUGAGUUAAGUGAAAGAUGAAAGAAGUAUAGGAUUUUAUGGACUUAGUCACCUUCCUCAAUUAAAUGGCUUAAGUUCAUCUCAUUUGUAAUUUGUCAAACUUUGGACACAGAAAACAAAUGAGGUUAUAACUAACUCCUUUCAGAGAUGGAUACGCCAGGCAAGCCUUUGGGACAUCUGGUCCACCUGAUAAUUAAGGACCUCAUUCUAAACUAGUAACUGGUUUAUUUUGAAAAUGGAAAUGAAUGAAGAUGCAGAACCUUAGACACAGAGAGGCAUGGCCAAUUUCUGUUUUGAUAUGCAAGAAAAUUAUUUGAAUUAGUGAAGGACUUUAAAUAUGAAACCAAGGAACCUGGUCACUGAAUCGUGCAGUAAAUUGUAUAAUAAGUGAAUCCUUCUCAUAAUAUUGAUCUCCUUCACUUUGCAUGUCAGUGUAUCAGUACCCUUCACUCCAGGCUCCCUACAUGAAUGAGAAUGUCCAGGAUGCAAAGACUUGGGUUAAAUAUUACUGAUGGAAUAUUUCCAGUUUGGGACUCAUUCCGUUGUCUUUAAUUGUCCUAGAACAAUAACUGUGGAGCGUUUUCCCUUUUUGCUACAUCACUCUCUUACAUGCAUUUAAUAAUUUCAGUCUGCUGUCAGGUCUUUCCUAAACCAUGUGCAUAAUUGGAUACAUGUAGUACAACAAAAGAUCCUCUUUGACACCUGCCAUUUCAGAAAACAAGUGCAAGUAAAGAAACAAAGAUAUUAUAAUAGACAGAUGUAUUUAUUUUGACAAGUGUGAUUUGUUUUUAAUUAUUAAUUUUUCACAGUAUACUAGUAACUUGUCUUGUAGGAUGUUUUGUAAAAGCAACAUCUGAUAAUGUGUCAUUACCAUAUUAGCAUACCUCUGUGCAAUUAAGGAUCGAGUCAGAAUAGGGGCUGACUUUCAUUUUUAGUGAGAAUUGCCAUGAAGCUAGGGAAAAAUAUGAACAUGUGAAUUCAUACUAAUAUUGCCCUAUGUUAAGCUUUUCUUCAACAAUUUGAAAAUCUUUCGUUGUUUCCACCACAAUGAAACCCCGAAACCUCCAUUGGUAAAGAAUUCUAUAAUUGUUUCAGUCAUCCAUUUCUGUAAGUUUUUGACAUGUGGAAUUUUUGUUGUUGUUGUUGUUGUUGUUUUUAACAACGUUGAACACUUUGGCUUAUGGAAAUGUAUCAUAGAACAUAUUCCUAGUUCUAACAGAGUUAUGAGAACAAAGCUGAGAAGCAUUUGAAUCCAUCUUUUUGUUUGGGUAAUGGUUAAGGAAAUCUGAAGGGACCUGGGUAAUUUCUCAGCAGUGAUUGUUUCACUCUACUUCACUCAAACAAUUUAAAUUUCCCCUUUGAGUGAGCAUCGUCUUGGUUUAAAUGUCCUGGUGCUGAGUUUCCUUGACAAACUCAAAACGGCAAGAAGAAAGAUAUGGGAGGAAAGAUGUGCCCCUCCCCCAUCCCCACCACCCUUUCAAAGACUAAAAAAUCUGAUUUUCCUUUAAUUUGUACUCAGCGGUGUCAGCUCUGUCAGAGGAAAGGGCAUCCCCGCUGACAGUAAUCAUUAUAACUCCAGGAGACCAGCAGAGAUAAAUAUACUAUAAGCCAUCUUCUGAGUGGGUCAUACUUGUCCUGAUACUUUUGAGGUCCAGGUACUUUGCAGAAAGAUUUCCUCCAUCAGAUGAGUUCUCAUGCCCAAAGAUGUGCUUGUUUUUGAUCUUUUCAUAGAAAAAUAUUAAUAUAUUACACCUCAAAAUAUGCCAAGUGUGUUUCUUGAAGGACUCUUUUUUUUAAGUGAAAAAUUGAUGCUAAUAUUCAGCAAAUAGGAUCUCCAUAAAUUAAAAACAAAACACAAAUCCAGAAACCCUUAACGCCAUAUGUAAAUGAAAUUGGCAUUUUGUUCUAGUCUCUCAUGACUGAACUGAAUAUUUGCAGAAUUAAUUGAAAAUUGAAUAUAUAUUUGAUAUGUGUAUCAAAUUCAAAAGCAUGCAACAUCUAGAUUUGGGGGUUUAUUAUUAUUAUUAUUAUUAUUUGCAAUUCAUAACUCCUCCAGAAGGUAAAACAAAUAACAUCAAGCAAGCCUCUGCUGGUAGAAUUAGAUUAUGUUGGUUUUCACUGCUACUUUAAAUAUUAUUGUCUUAUUCGCCUUUGUUCUCUAAGUUUGGCCUACUGUAACCUCUGUAAAAUGUACUUAAGUCGCAAUUUCUCUAUCACGUCCCAAGAUUGUAAGAGAAGCAGGUAAGGAAUCACUCAACCUUGUUUUACUAGAAUGGGCAUUUGCACUGUUACUAUGGAACAUGGUUCUGGUAAUGACUAUCUUCUUCUAAAAGAAUGUUUUCAUUGUAUUUUCUACUGCAUGGCUUUUAUGGCAUUUGGAGAUAAAAUUUAAGCAACUGAAUCUGCAAACAUAGUUUAAUGUCGUUUAUAUGAUUCUUCCAGAGUGUUUCCUUUUUCAUUUUGCGUGGAUAAGUCUCUUUCUAUUUUAUAUACAUCCGUCAGAUAAAUCCUAUGAUGUAUCAUAUAAAUUCAUGUUUUGCGAGUGUUGGAGUGACAUCAAAAUGAAAAGUUGUUAUAUUGGUUAUAAUGACAGGUAAGUUUUAUUUUCGCUUUAAAAUUAUUUUGUACCUUGUAAAAAUUUACCAUAGAUGGUGAAGCAUUUUUGUAAUC